GAUCGUACCCGUGGGUGAGACUAAAGAGAAAGAAGAAGAGAGGGAAAAAAAUGAAAAGACAGGAGAAGAAAAGAAAAAAAAAAAGAAAAAGAAGAAAUAAAAAGAAAAGGAUAGGGAAAGAAAGAAUAGCGCAGGGUGCUGCCGCACAGGGUGGAGAACAAGCGAGUUAUAUUCCAGAGUGUCGCAUCCAUGAGAAAUCAACUAUGGAGAAGAUUUGCAUGCGAGUCGAAUAUAAGCUUGCUGAAUAUCCUCAGGUAUAAGUAUUUCAUAUAAGAAGAGACCGCUGUAUAGCCGUGCGUAUAAGACACUCUUCUGUACCCUACGGCCCUUCCAUUUUGCGAGAAGAAACGAAAGGGAUAAAAUCAACCACCCCCUCUCCGUCCAACUCCAGAGAGCUGCUCUUGGAUUCCGGAAAGCGGUCUCUCUCUUUUUUCCCUCCCUCUCUCUGUUUCUCUCUCUCUUUCUCUCUCUCUCUCUCUCUUCUUCUUUUUCUUUCCACCUUCUCUCACUCUCCUAGCUCAAACGCGAAAAGAGGAAAUGGCGCUCUUCGUCGUCGUCGUCGUCGUCGUCGUCGUCGUCGUCGUCGUCGUCAUCGUCGUCGUCGUCGUCGCAGAAAGGCUUCGAAGUGAAUAGCUCGCUAGACGUAGAAGGAGAGUAUCACUACCAAAUACGCUAAUGUAUCCACGUAUAUGUAGAUAGGUAUAUGCUAGUAUAGCUGCCAUAUAGGCGACGUUUUAAGAAAUAUAUCGAUAUCCAUGUCGCAACGGAUCGUAGCUUUCCUAGUCUCUCUAUAUAAAACGUUAUCGAUUUUCGAUAAGAAUCUCGUCUCCAUCAUUAUCACGAGACUUUCGGAAAAAAGCCCUUGCUUCUUUCGCGAACGAAGCUGUAACGAGUUAUGUGAAUGAAUAUAUGUAAGGGUUACUGAUAUAUACAUGCAUAUAUAUAUAUAUAUAUAUAUAUGUAUGUUAUAUAUUAUAUAUUAUAUAUAUAUAUUAUAUUGUAUAUAAUAUAUAUAUAUAUAUACUUUUUUUAUUACGACUAUGAUAUUAUAAAAAGAAGGGAGAGAAGAAAAUACUCGAAUCUUCAAGAGUCGCCAUCUCUUCACCGUCUCCUCCUUUCUUACCCUCUUUCGCGAAAAAAGAUGUUGUCGAGUCUCGCGAGAGUGUGUACGCGGAUAUGGAAAAAGCAGUGGCAACCCUAUCACAGUGGCAACCCCAAGGGGGCUCGCGGGAGAAGAAGAGAACGACCGACCAACCAAGACCCGAAUAUAGGAUGCCAAGAAUUUUCAUAUCUCGAUGCCACCCUCAGAAAGUCGCAAGCUUUUCCUAGAAAAUUUCUUGGUAGACGCUAUACCAUAGAAGGAACGAAGAGUAAGGAAACAUCGAAUUGAUCUUUAUCCUGUUUACUUGAUCUUUAUCCUGUUUACAUUAAUUAUAUUAUUCAUUCGAGAAAAAAAAGAUAAUCGAAGAAAAGUAUCGAGCUCUUGCAAAUGGAUCGAAACGAAAGUGUACGGAAAAAAAAAUAUAAUGAACAAUCUGGCGAAUCUGGUAUGGGUGUAAUGAAUCAUGGAAAGAAAAGGGAGAGUUUAUCGCGUUAAAUGUACCGAAAAAUCGUGGCUACGUCCAAACGUGCUCGAAAAGUCGAUAAAAAUUAAAAUUUCUAAACCAUAGGUCACCGUCCAAUAUUUAUGUAUGUACAUUCGAAAAUAUCGAAAUGUCAUUGAACGUAAAUUUACGUGAAAGUCUUUGAAAUCCUCUCUCGAUUCUUCUUCGUUUCCUCCUCGAUGCAAGCACACCUCGCGUAGAAAACGUAAACGGCAUCGACACUGAAAACUGCCAUCCUACGUACCGUCGUCAACAUCGACCUCCCCUUUCACCCACCACCACCAUCACCACCACCCUUCCGUUGGAUAAAGGUGUUAGGGGUGCAGGCUGCGACUGACAGCUACAUUUAUACGUUUCGCGGAUUUUCCAUAUCGAGAUUCGUCGAGUGCACACGGGGCCGGGCUUAACGGCGUGGCACUGCAAAUAACGUCGGGAGGAUUUGUAUCUGUCAGAAGUUGCGGAGCUGGUUACUACGUGCCUCGGUGUUGCCUGCGGAUUCAAAAAUCCUCCUCCCGCGACGACGUGUACGUGAAAAUUCCAUGGAUUCUGAUGCCACCCUUCGAUCGCGAGUCUCCGCGAAACAUCUCACUCGUUACAUUUUGCAUCCGAGCCGACGAAUUGGAUUUUGCGAAGCAACCUCAACGUCUUCCGUCUUUCAUCCAUCUUAUUUUCUCCAUGAUUUCAUCGCAUCGAGUCGAAAAAACAUUAAAUACGUAUGGUAUAUUAUUUUUUUCAUUAAGUAUUUUAGGAUCACUAUAAAAAUCCAACUAUGUAAAUUAUUUCUUUAUGAACUUAUCUUAUUCCCUUUUGUCUAAUCCUCCUCUUGUUUACAUAAAUCUGUCCUUAAUUAUACUCCGUACGAUGAUAGUAAACACUCUAUCGUACCGCGUUAAUACUUUUAGUUAUUCCCACGCCUGUACCUCUCUCAUCCUGUCCUACAAGGAACUAAACCUUUCAAUUUCUAUACCGAGAUCUCGAAGCCGUAGGAUCGUGUAACCCCUUCUUCCGAGUUCAUACCUGAACGAUGAACAACUCCCGAUUGGCUGCAUCAAGAUUCAAAAGCUUCUCUUUCGAGGGGAAUCACGAUUAAUAUUCCCCUAUGGCGAGUGACUGUUAAUUAAUUUAAAAAUUAUAAUAAUAAUAAUAAUAAUAAUAAUUUCGAUCAAUUUGAGAUCUAAAAAUAUUCUUUCUAUUCUUUCACGAGAUAUAACGCUUGUUUCUAUUACUUAUAUCAUUCGUAAGUCUUAAAUAAUAAGUCUAUCGAUCAAAUCUAAUCCACCGUAUACUCUUUUUUUUCUUUUUGAACGAAUAUUAUAAUCAUACGGAAAGAUAAGAAAAUCAUCAUGUUAAAUGGAAUACGAAAUCAUUAAAUUAUAACUCGUUUGAAAGAUUUCGAUGCAAGUAUCGAGUCUACUAUAUGGUUUGUCCUUUUAACUUUUCGAUCUUGUUGAACGAGACUAAAUAUAUUUGCAAAUAUGUACAAAUAUCCCUAGCGAUACCCUUUUCCUCUCUUUCGUGCAAACCUCCGUCGAGUCAGUAGCAUCCCUCUCACGUGUUUUCUACUCCUGCCAUCCUCCGGUCGAUCCUCCGGGCCUCGAACGAAUAAUCAGGUAGGUGUGUAGCAAAACCAUUCUUCUUCCAUCCUCUUUUCUAUCAAUCUAUCUAUCUCCUUCCCUCUCGCUCGCUCGUUCCGUCCUCAUACAGAGUAUAUGUAAAUCAUGGCAAGCGUGUCCAUACAUAGUAGCGUGGAUCAACGUGUCUCUCUCUUUCUCCUUCUCUCUCUCUCUCUCUCUCUCGUGUGCGCGCGCGCACGUUUAUCUUUCUCCAUGCGUGUGCGUAUACGUCUGUUUGUCUCUCUACGUGUACUACGUGUACGCGUACACAUCACGAGGUAUAUUUGCAUGACAAUAUUAUUCCACUCCGAGCGUACGCGGAUUGGUUACUCUUUUUCCCUACGUUCUAUACUACAGCAUGAUCCAAACGGUAGAUCCUUCGGAUCUUGCAGUUGAAGAAUAUAUUUUUCUAGGAUAUUUAUAUAUGUUAUCAAAAAAGAGAAAAGAAAAAAAAAAGAAAAG